GGGUUGUGAGGUUAAGCGACUAAGCGUACACGGUGGAUGCCCUGGCAGUCAGAGGCGAUGAAGGACGUGCUAAUCUGCGAUAAGCGUCGGUAAGGUGAUAUGAACCGUUAUAACCGGCGAUUUCCGAAUGGGGAAACCCAGUGUGUUUCGACACACUAUCAUUAACUGAAUCCAUAGGUUAAUGAGGCGAACCGGGGGAACUGAAACAUCUAAGUACCCCGAGGAAAAGAAAUCAACCGAGAUUCCCCCAGUAGCGGCGAGCGAACGGGGAGCAGCCCAGAGCCUGAAUCAGUGUGUGUGUUAGUGGAAGCGUCUGGAAAGGCGCGCGAUACAGGGUGACAGCCCCGUACACAAAAAUGCACAUACUGUGAGCUCGAUGAGUAGGGCGGGACACGUGGUAUCCUGUCUGAAUAUGGGGGGACCAUCCUCCAAGGCUAAAUACUCCUGACUGACCGAUAGUGAACCAGUACCGUGAGGGAAAGGCGAAAAGAACCCCGGCGAGGGGAGUGAAAAAGAACCUGAAACCGUGUACGUACAAGCAGUGGGAGCACGCUUAGGCGUGUGACUGCGUACCUUUUGUAUAAUGGGUCAGCGACUUAUAUUCUGUAGCAAGGUUAACCGAAUAGGGGAGCCGAAGGGAAACCGAGUCUUAACUGGGCGUUAAGUUGCAGGGUAUAGACCCGAAACCCGGUGAUCUAGCCAUGGGCAGGUUGAAGGUUGGGUAACACUAACUGGAGGACCGAACCGACUAAUGUUGAAAAAUUAGCGGAUGACUUGUGGCUGGGGGUGAAAGGCCAAUCAAACCGGGAGAUAGCUGGUUCUCCCCGAAAGCUAUUUAGGUAGCGCCUCGUGAAUUCAUCUCCGGGGGUAGAGCACUGUUUCGGCAAGGGGGUCAUCCCGACUUACCAACCCGAUGCAAACUGCGAAUACCGGAGA
rnacentral:rRNA from 1 species